rnacentral:misc_RNA from 1 species
GAUGAAGAACGUAGCGAAAUGCGAUACGUAAUGUGAAUUGCAGAAUUCAGUGAAUCAUCGAGUCUUUGAACGCACAUUGCGCCCCUUGGUAUCCCGAGGGGCAUGCCUGUUCGAGCGUCAUUUCACCACUCAAGCCUGGCUUGGUGUUGGGCGACGUCCUCUUUGGGGACGCGCCUCGAAACGCUCGGCGGCGUGGCACCGGCUUUAAGCGUAGCAGAAUCUUUCGCUUUGGAAGUCGGGGCCCCGUCUGCCGGAAGACCUGCUCGCAAGGUUGACCUCGGAUCAGGCAGGGAUACCCGCUGAACUUAAGCAUAUCAAUAAGCGGAGGA